AUGUCAUUUAACAAUUGCGGGAAGUUGAGUGCAAAGAUGUUUUUUUUUUACCAGUCAAUCAGUCGAUACUGGAAACCAAAGUUUUACAAACUACAUGGGACUACUUAAGGAGAAAAACGUCUGCAAAAUGCUGGGCCGACGUGCGGUUGCAAAAAAAUGUUGGGCAGAGCUUGCGGAUUGACAUUGGCCUUAUGUGGUACACGAGAACUUUAUUGAACCGUAUAAAAUGUGUUUUGGCUGUCACCAUUGCUGAAGGUAGAUUCACAAGCAAGAACCUGCAGCAUGGACUUCCGCUUCGGUGCUGUACUAGGACUGCUGCUCAUGCUGGUGCAUUUCAGUGAGCAGGGUAAAUUCCUCAAGUAUGCUGCAAUGGCUGCAAUGGGUGGACAUAGCGUCAUUCCUAUUCCUAUUCCACUGCCGCACGAAGAUAAAAAAUACUACCCGGUACACUACCCUGUACCAGUCCCAGUGACCAAACAUCAUCACACGCACCACAAGGUGCACAACAUCCACCAUCACCAUAAGGUCUACGUCCCCGUUCACCAUCAUACACACACCGUUCAUACGGUGGGCCACAAGUACCACGAUGAUGAUUACGGACACAAACAUCAUGGUUACCACUGAACUAUCACGUGACAUAUGUCAGCGAAUGGGAUGCCUAUUAUGAUGACUGCGCAUCGAAAUAUCCAUCAACUUUCUACACCAUCGCAGUCAUUAAGUUGGCACAAGAAAUGCAGGAUCCUGAAUGGUUAGGUCAGGGUUUUUGGAGCAUUCAAUUGCCUACGUAUUGUUGUAGUCAGUCUGUAGUCGACGUCAUAAGUAACUAUCAUAAUUAACAUUAACACAAUUAACACUAACAUCGCAUAUUAUUUGUGUACCGUUUACUAUGAUGAACUCAACACUGUUCCUCCCGAUAAUAAUAGUUGUACUGGUUCACGAAAGUGUAAAUGAUAUUCCUUCUCUUGUCAAUCAUUUCGAUUUGUUGAGCAUCUCUGUUUUAAUGAUCCAGACACGUGAUAAGCUCUAAAUGAGUACUUCGAUGCACUAAUAUGAAUACUUAAUAUUAACGGUGAUAGACGCGUACUUGUGCAUGUCACCCUCAGUGUAUGUGUAAAUGGGCACUUGUCGUUUCGAUGCCAUCGAGCCCCGUUAGGCCUAUAACAGUCCUACGGCCUUUCUUCGAUUUCCAGCUGUUAAUUUCUCAUCCUUUUGUGCCCGAUUGUAAUCUCUGCAGUAUGCGAUAUGUAGAACUAUACGUCGUUUGGACAUGUUAUACGUGAGAUAUGUCAGGUGAAUGAAAUGAGGUACAUGUCAUGCGAACCGU